rnacentral:lncRNA from 1 species
AGCUGGUGAGCAUGCUCUCUUCUGGCUCUUUCUGCAGCACUGGGGGGCUAGGAUGCUCUUGGUUCUGCUCACUGCUUGCCCCUCUCGUUGGCACAAUUGUGUAGGACCUUUGCAACCUGCGCCUGCUUAUCUGGUCCCUGACAACAUUCAGGCUUCUGCGGUAUCCACUAACGUUGGGAAUGCAGCAGCAGCUCUUCCUCCUUCUGGCCAUGAGGGUGGCCGGCUUUCCGGGGCUUAGUAAAUGCCAGUCUACUCAAUCCCUGCAGGGCAGGAGAGACUUUGCUGGGAGCCCGCUGCCCCUCCGGUUCUCAGGAGGUCUGAGGAAUGAAGCCUGGGCUACAAAGGAGGGAACUGGUAAAACGUGGACCCAAUGCUUUAGCAGCUGGCCACAAACUAUUACAGUUGUGUACCUUGCACAGUUAUCACUGCAAAACAUCCAAACAAACAACUUUUCCUGUGCUGAGAUCUGAAAUUCGUCACAAAGACAUACUGAUGAUUUUUGUACUGGGAAAUUUUGACAGAUGAAAAACCAUGAGAUGAAAAACAUGUUUAAUCACAUAAUGACAUAAAUUACCCUCUGAUGGCCCUGCAAUCUCACAAUAUGCCACAUUGGUAUAUUGAUCAUUUCAAACAAAAAUCCCUUGAGAAACUGUACCUUCAGGAAGAGACAUUUGGCCUGCAUCUUCCCACAUGCCAUGAAGAUUGCUUUGGAAGGGAUGUUCCUCACAUUGCAAGAGCAAGAAGCAGCCUUGAGCACUAGAGACGGGGGCCAGAAGUGAACCUGAAAAAACACAUUCUUGGAAGCCACCGUUAUCUCCCACCAACUUCUUCAUUGCCCGUAUUAUCUCUUAGUGACAUCCCUAGGACUCACCACGGUGCAGAUAUCCAUGUGUCUUGUCAUUCCUUCACAAAUUUGUUAUUUGUCUAAAAAGUAUAAAGUCACCAUGCUUUGGUCAGUUCUCUGACGUCACUUUUCUGCAAA